UUUAAAUAUUUUUUUUAAAAAAUCAGAUCAUAUCGAGAGACCUAUGAGAAACUUGACCGCACAAGAAUUGUACUAUGGUAGCAAAAACGCUUGUGGAACCCAGAUCGGUGGCAUCAUCGGAAAGUCAAGUAGUGUGAACAAGCAGCUACGACAGGCCACAGGGGCCAAGAUCCGAAUGGAAGAAGCCCAAGUCAAGUCGCCGGACCGGGUAGUGGUGGUCGUCGCUCCCAGUGCAAUCCGUUCCAAGAUUUGGUUGAGAACUACAGGCCUCGAAAAUGUUAAUGGUGGGGGGGAAGAGGAGAUUGAGGUGGGGUGGUUUCGUGCCGGUUUCUGGCGGAGGUAGCGCCGGUCGGGUCGGUGAUAGGGAAGGGCGGUAAGGUGGUGGAGAAGAUUAGGAAAGAGAUUGAUUGUAAAAUUAGGGUUUCGAAUGAGAAAUUGCCGGCUUGUGCAGUUUCUACGGACGAGAUGGUCGAGGUGGUCAUUGAUUGGGCCGGGAGAUACCUUCACCAGAUGGAAAGGCCAUUAGAUGUGCUAUUCAAACAGACGCUGGUGAAUAAAGGGCAAUGGAGUUGAUCCCCUGCAGAAGGUGGCAGGCGACGAGAUUCCGGCGGUGGUGGCUGGCGGCGGGAUUCCUGCGGUGGUGGCCGGCGGCGAGAUUCCAGCGGUGGUGGUUGGAUAGAUAUGGACAUGUGGCAUAGUAUGCUUGCUUUAGGAGUGGCAUUGUGUGUAAUUUUGAUAUUUUUUAAUGAUAUUUUUGUAAAUUAGGUACCAUAUUUUGGUCUUUGGCCUUAUGCUAAUUAGAUGAAAUUGUAUUCCUAUCUUCCAAAUUAGUAAACUAUAUUGUGUUUUAAAA